rnacentral:sRNA from 1 species
AUAAUCAUUCAAUUAAUGAGCCAUUUAUGGCAUUUCGAAGAGGCAUAGCUUACCAUUCGAUUAAGGAGGAGGUAUAACCUCAUACUCCGAAAAUAUAAAGCAUAUAAUUUUUUAUAAAUGAAUUAAGAUGAAUUUAAGAUAAUUUAAAUGUUACCUCAAAAGAUGCUUGAUCAAAUAGACGAUCAGUUGGUUAGAUAACUCCCGGAGAGACGAUCGUGCUGAUAACGUGUUAUAAAAGAUCAAAGUAAGAAAGAAGAAUGAAUACUAGAGAGAAUAAAACUCGAAACAAGAGUUUUCUUAUUGCUUUCUCUUUCUCUUUUCUUUCUCUCUGUUUUCUCUGUAACUUACAAAUGAAUGAAAUGAGCUAUAUAUAGUAGAGCUUACUUAGCUAGGAAGUAAAUUACUUAGAGAAGAAGUAAUAGAUAAACAUCAUCCAUAUCUUAGGGAUGAAGUAAUGGAUAAACAUAAUCCAUAUCUUAGGGAGGAAGUAAUGGAUAAACAUAAUCCAUAUCUUAUAGACAGAGAUGAGAGAUGGAUAAUCACAUCCAUACUUAUCCGGUUUAUAACACGGAUAUAAAUAAGUAGGAAAAACUAUA